AUGGCUCAGGAUGAACGCUGGCGGCGUGGAUAAGGCAUGCAAGUUGAACGGAACUAAUCAGUGGAAGUAUGGAAUGAGUAGCAAUACAAGUGAAGUAUGGAAGCUGACAGUUUAGUGGCAAACGAGGUAGUAAUAUUUAGGAACGCACCCUGAAGUCACGAAUAGCCCACCGAAAGGUGGAGUAAUACGUGAUGGUCUCGCAAGAGUAAAGAUUUAUCGCUUCAGGAGCGGCUUAAACAGUAUCAGCUAGUUGGUAAGGUAAUGGCUUACCAAGGCUAUGACGCUUAGGAGAGGUGAGAGCCUGACCUCCACCGAUGGGACUGAGACACGGCCCAUACACCUACGGGUGGCUGCAGUCGAGAAUCUUCCACAAUGGACGAAAGUCUGAUGGAGCGACGCCGCGUGAUCGAUGAAGUGCUUCGGUAUGUAAAGAUCUUUUAUGAGGGAAGAAGUUUAUUGACGGUACCUCAUGAAUAAGGACCUGCAAAACUCGUGCCAGCAGCAGCGGUAAUACGAGUGGUCCAAGCGUUAUCCGGAAUUAUUGGGCGUAAAGGAUGUGUAGGUGGUUGUAUUAGUCG
rnacentral:rRNA from 1 species